rnacentral:rRNA from 1 species
CCUACGGGGGGCUGCAGUGGGGAAUAUUGGACAAUGGGGGGAACCCUGAUCCAGCCAUGCCGCGUGUGUGAAGAAGGCCCUCGGGUUGUAAGCACUUUCAGUGAGGAAGAACGCCUGGUGGUUAAUACCCAUCAGGAAAGACAUCACUCACAGAAGAAGCACCGGCUAACUCCGUGCCAGCAGCCGCGGUAAUACGGAGGGUGCGAGCGUUAAUCGGAAUUACUGGGCGUAAAGCGCGCGUAGGUGGCUUGAUAAGCCGGUUGUGAAAGCCCCGGGCUCAACCUGGGAACGGCAUCCGGAACUGUCAAGCUAGAGUGCAGGAGAGGAAGGUAGAAUUCCCGGUGUAGCGGUGAAAUGCGUAGAGAUCGGGAGGAAUACCAGUGGCGAAGGCGGCCUUCUGGACUGACACUGACACUGAGGUGCGAAAGCGUGGGUAGCAAACAGGAUUAGAUACCCUUGUAGUC